rnacentral:rRNA from 1 species
UGCAGUCGAGCGGAUGAAGGGAGCUUGCUCCUGGAUUCAGCGGCGGACGGGUGAGUAAUGCCUAGGAAUCUGCCUGGUAGUGGGGGAUAACGUCCGGAAACGGGCGCUAAUACCGCAUACGUCCUGAGGGAGAAAGUGGGGGAUCUUCGGACCUCACGCUAUCAGAUGAGCCUAGGUCGGAUUAGCUAGUUGGUGGGGUAAAGGCCUACCAAGGCGACGAUCCGUAACUGGUCUGAGAGGAUGAUCAGUCACACUGGAACUGAGACACGGUCCAGACUCCUACGGGAGGCAGCAGUGGGGAAUAUUGGACAAUGGGCGAAAGCCUGAUCCAGCCAUGCCGCGUGUGUGAAGAAGGUCUUCGGAUUGUAAAGCACUUUAAGUUGGGAGGAAGGGCAGUAAGUUAAUACCUUGCUGUUUUGACGUUACCAACAGAAUAAGCACCGGCUAACUUCGUGCCAG